CACACACAGACAUGGGACCAUACAUCACAUGCUGCUGACCAGAGAUCUGACCUUAUCCCUGCAUCCAACUUCUUCUCAGUCAAGUGAUAAAAACAGCAUCAGAUCUAUAAAAAACUGUAUUUUAAUUGGCAUUGCUGUCUGAAAAUGACAUUUUGAAAACGAAUGCCAGACCCCAUGAAUAAGCACAAAGCCUCACCCAGAGUGUGACACAGUCACAGACACAAAGAUAUCGACGUGCAACAGCAGCUUGGCCCUAAUUCCACGCAAACCAUCAUUCAGGUAUGCAACAAGGAAAUCUCUUACAUGGAGAAAGAUUAAAGAAGAAAUUAUCAGAACAUUUUAGAGGUUACCCUCAAAGCUGAAACUCUUCUGUGACCACAACUUCCCAUUGUGCUGAAAUUCCUCUGAACUGGGGAGAUCUUCUACAGGAAUGAUGUUCUUUGGAAAAACAACA